rnacentral:rRNA from 1 species
CAGUAGCCGCGGUAAUACGGAGGGUGCAAGCGUUAAUCGGAAUUACUGGGCGUAAAGCGUGCGUAGGCGGUUCGUUAAGUCUGUUGUGAAAGCCCCGGGCUCAACCUGGGAAUGGCAAUGGAUACUGGCGAGCUAGAGUGUGUCAGAGGAUGGUGGAAUUCCCGGUGUAGCGGUGAAAUGCGUAGAGAUCGGGAGGAACAUCAGUGGCGAAGGCGGCCAUCUGGGACAACACUGACGCUGAGGCACGAAAGCGUGGGGAGCAUACAGGAUUAGAUACCCCGGUAGUCCCUGUCUCUUAUAC